GCCGGGCAUGGUGGCGCAUGCCUGUAAUCCCAGCUACUCAGGAGGCUGAGACAGGAGAAUCACUUGAACUCAGGAGGCGAAGGUUGAAGUGAGCCGAGGUCGCACCACUGCAUUCCAGCCUGGGUGACAGAGUGAGACUCUGUCUCAA
rnacentral:SRP_RNA from 1 species